GCGUCCUAAAACCCUAUAAAUAAAUCCUCUGUAGAAGAAAACGACGAAAGGUCGAAUCUCGCCUUCUCUAUCUCUCUCACAAUGGCUUCGGCUUGCAACAGAUUCAUGAGAAGAUCCUCCGUCUCGUCUCUCAGAUCCGCCAUCAGAUCAUCUCUUCACAAAUCUCCAGUUGGCACCGGAACUCCGCCGAGUGCUUCUUCAUCCGCCGGGUUUCGGAUUCCGUCUAAACCCGCUGCUUCUCCCAGAUUCUCCUUCUCCAGGUGUCCAUCUGAGCUUGGUUGUGUUCAGUCGCUGUUGCCGCUUCACAGCACGGUGGCGGCUGCUAGGCUGACGUCGUGCCUUAGCCUAACAUCCAGAAGCAGCCGAGCUCUCUCUCAGGGCACAUAAAUUUCACCGUUACCAUGUGGGAUCCUUGCAUCUUUAUCAAAUGGAAUCGAUGACACGUGAGACGUAUUUGCAGUUGUUUUUUAAAGAGAUGGGCCUUUCAGUCCCAAGGUGACCCACCUGAUACAUUCAUGAAGAGUAUUACUAUCAGGGGAGGCAAGUUUCUUCUAAAGACAAGAAGUGUUUUUUUUUGUUUGCGACUCCAAACUCUUGUUCGUGAAGAAAACUGUGUAAUACUAUUUCUGCUCUUUACACAAUUCAUAUCUCAGAUUCUAUCCA